rnacentral:tRNA from 2 species
GCUAGGGUAGGGUAGCGGCUAUCCUAAAGGACUGUGGAUCCUUUGACCCGGGUUCGAUUCCCGGCCCUGGCC